rnacentral:lncRNA from 1 species
GACACCGUACAUACACAUGUUGUUAAUGUUAACUUAAUGAAAAGAAAUUCUUUACAUUCGUCUUCGUGUCCACAUGAGAGUGAAAACAAAGUUGAGUUAUAACAGUUCCCGAGCGAAUACACUUCGUGAUGAGCACUCUACGUGAAUGGUUUCAUAAUGUCCUACUAUAGCGACCAAGGCUGUGGAGCGUGACCACUGAGGCGAUCAAGUGAACGACGAUCCGACGCGUACGGCGAUUCUCCACGC